rnacentral:rRNA from 1 species
GUUGAACGCUGGCGGCGUGCUUAACACAUGCAAGUCGAACGAAACCAAGGGAGCUUGCUCCUGGAAGUUUAGUGGCGGACGGGUGAGUAACGCGUGAGGAAUCUGCCUCGGAGUGGGGAAUAACAGUUGGAAACGACUGCUAAUACCGCAUGAUGCAUUUGAGUCGCAUGGCUCUGAAUGCCAAAGAUUUAUCGCUCUGAGAUGAUCUCGCGUCUGAUUAGCUAGUUGGUGAGGUAAUGGCUCACCAAGGCGACGAUCAGUAGCCGGACUGAGAGGUUGAACGGCCACAUUGGGACUGAGACACGGCCCAGACUCCUACGGGAGGCAGCAGUGAGGAAUAUUGGGCAAUGGGCGCAAGCCUGACCCAGCAACGCCGCGUGAAGGAAGAAGGCUUUCGGGUUGUAAACUUCUUUUGUCAGGGACGAAACAAAUGACGGUACCUGAAGAAAAAGCCACGGCUAACUACGUGCCAGCAGCCGCGGUAAUACGUAGGUGGCAAGCGUUAUCCGGAUUUACUGGGUGUAAAGGGCGUGUAGGCGGGACUGCAAGUCAGGCGUGAAAACCAGGGGCUCAACCUCUGGCCUGCGUUUGAAACUGUAGUUCUUGAGUGUGGGAGAGGUAAUCGGAAUUCCUAGUGUAGCGGUGAAAUGCUUAGA